AGAGUUUGAUCCUGGCUCAGGACGAACGCUGGCGGCGUGCCUAAUACAUGCAAGUAGAACGCUGAAGAGAGGAGCUUGCUCUUCUUGGAUGAGUUGCGAACGGGUGAGUAACGCGUAGGUAACCUGCCUUGUAGCGGGGGAUAACUAUUGGAAACGAUAGCUAAUACCGCAUAACAAUGGGUGACUCAUGUCAUUUAUUUGAAAGGGGCAAAUGCUCCACUACAAGAUGGACCUGCGUUGUAUUAGCUAGUAGGUGAGGUAACGGCUCACCUAGGCGACGAUACAUAGCCGACCUGAGAGGGUGAUCGGCCACACUGGGACUGAGACACGGCCCAGACUCCUACGGGAGGCAGCAGUAGGGAAUUUUCGGCAAUGGGGGAAACCCUGACCGAGCAACGCCGCGUGAAGGAAGAAGUAAUUCGUUAUGUAAACUUCUGUCAUAGAGGAAGAACGGUGGAUAUAGGGAAUGAUAUCCAAGUGACGGUACUCUAUAAGAAAGCCACGGCUAACUACGUGCCAGCAGCCGCGGUAAUACGUAGGUGGCGAGCGUUAUCCGGAAUUAUUGGGCGUAAAGAGGGAGCAGGCGGCACUAAGGGUCUGUGGUGAAAGAUCGAAGCUUAACUUCGGUAAGCCAUGGAAACCGUAGAGCUAGAGUGUGUGAGAGGAUCGUGGAAUUCCAUGUGUAGCGGUGAAAUGCGUAGAUAUAUGGAGGAACACCAGUGGCGAAGGCGACGAUCUGGCGCAUAACUGACGCUCAGUCCCGAAAGCGUGGGGAGCAAAUAGGAUUAGAUACCCUAGUAGUCCACGCCGUAAACGAUGAGUACUAAGUGUUGGGUGUCAAAGCUCAGUGCUGCAGUUAACGCAAUAAGUACUCCGCCUGAGUAGUACGUUCGCAAGAAUGAAACUCAAAGGAAUUGACGGGGGCCCGCACAAGCGGUGGAGCAUGUGGUUUAAUUCGAAGCAACGCGAAGAACCUUACCAAGUCUUGACAUCCCGAUGACAGAACAUGUAAUGUGCUUUCUCUUCGGAGCAUCGGUGACAGGUGGUGCAUGGUUGUCGUCAGCUCGUGUCGUGAGAUGUUGGGUUAAGUCCCGCAACGAGCGCAACCCCUAUUGUUAGUUGCCAUCAUUCAGUUGGGCACUCUAGCGAGACUGCCGGUAAUAAACCGGAGGAAGGUGGGGAUGACGUCAAAUCAUCAUGCCCCUUAUGACCUGGGCUACACACGUGCUACAAUGGACAGAGCAGAGGGAAGCGAAGCCGCGAGGUGGAGCGAAACCCAUAAAACUGUUCUCAGUUCGGACUGCAGUCUGCAACUCGACUGCACGAAGAUGGAAUCGCUAGUAAUCGCGAAUCAGCAUGUCGCGGUGAAUACGUUCUCGGGCCUUGUACACACCGCCCGUCACACCAUGAGAGUCGGUAACACCCGAAGCCGGUGGCCUAACCGCAAGGAAGGAGCUGUCUAAGGUGGGACUGAUGAUUGGGGUGAAGUCGUAACAAGGUAUCCCUACGGGAACGUGGGGAUG
rnacentral:rRNA from 1 species